UUUAAUAUAAAAUUUAAAUUAAAAGACUAUAUAUUUUAUUAAUAUAAAACUUUAGAGACAAUAUUGUAAUUUAUCGUUAACUUUUUAGUUUCAAUUUAGUUAUUUUAAUUAUAACCAUGACAAAUUUAAAAAAUUUAGCUUCAUUAUCAAAAUUUUAAAAUUUUGGAUAUAAAUAUAAAGUAAUGUAAAGUUUUAUAUUUUUUUUUGCCUAAUAGACAUUUAAGGAAUAAUAUCACAAUUUCAAAAUGAGAUUCCACUGGCACAAACUCUUAGCCAUGAAAACACAAUAAAAAUUUAUAGAAAUAACUUCAACUUUUAUUCAUAAAAGGAAAAUUAUACAAAGGGACUCCUCAUACAGAUCAUCCCAAUGUUUACAUAUAUACAUGUUAAAUAGAAAGAAAAUAACGGUUACAAGUAGGAGUUACAAAGCAGUUAUGGCUGACAUCUCCAGCCAUGUAGGAGAAAACUGCCCACAAUUGCAUAAGGCGAAACUACCUCCUUACUAGCACAACUGCCCCACGUCUGUAGGGAAUUCCCUUGCCUCCAAGUAACUUUUAGUAAUUGCCCUAUCAUGGGCCUACAGCCAAUUCCAGCAACUCUAUACACAUGUGGGAGUGGACUGAUAUCCAAGCUCAUCCCUUGAAAGCCAACGCCCCAGUAGCCCAAGGCCUUCAACAAGCUUGCACCAAGUAGAAAUUUCUCAUUGCCCAACAUCACCUUGCUAACCAAGUGUGCCAAUGCAUACAGUCAAGUGAAGUUGUAGUGGGACUAAGGCUAAUUUUCACUCCAACCCAUGCCAAUCUUAUUAAGGGUCUAACAGCAACCCCACUAGAAGGAGCCAAUAUCCUCAUUAGUAGCGCUUGCAAAUUCAAUUUGUUUCUCAAAUUGCCGUAGAGUAGUAUCUCUUUUCCAUGUAGCUUUGACAUUUGGUCUAUUUUUUCACAGAAUUAAGAAUUUUUUCCUUCGAUUCUUCUUACUAUGCCCCAAGAUUCGAUGAUCCAAAAUUUUCAAAAUCUCAACAUCAAAUUGCUUCUUUACAACUAAGGAGCUCUCUUAGCUUGAUUCCUUGAAGGUUCUGCCACAUCCUCAUGGAAUUGUUUGAGGAAACUUACAUGGAGGGUGGGAUGCACCUUUAGCCUUUAAAGUAACUUUAGCAUGUAGGCAACAUUGCCCACCUUAGCAAUAAUUUUGAAAGGGCUAUCAUACUUGGGAACUAAUCCCUAUGCAUUGCCUUGCUACUAAUCUUUUCCCAAAUCUAUAGGGUCAGUUUCAACAGCACCUUGUGUAACACUCCUUACCCGUCUAUAAAAUAACUCAGUAAAGUAUGUCACAUACUAUACUAUAUGCAAUUAUAUAUGUGGACUUAAAUUAGUUUUUACAUUAUAAAUUGUUAUUUAGUUUGUUUAAAUACAUGUUAAUUCAUAAAAAUAAUUUAUAUUAUAAAUUAGCUUUUACAUUAUAACUUGUGAAUAACUGGUUAUGAUGAUGUCCCGUACUGAUGCAGAACCAGACCUCUUGAUUAUUGCUUCCUUUUAUCUAUUACCUGCACAUGAAAAAAUCCAAUGCGUUGAGCUUAUGCUCAAUGUGUAAAUAACAAUAUAUAUUCAUUCAAGUAUAAACAAGAAUACACAUGACAGUUAUAAUAAAAAUAUUUUAUAAAAACGAGUGAAAAUUUUAUAUGUCCGUGAGUGAAAAAUGGGCAAAUUAAGUCAUGCAGUUGUCUGUAAGGUCAUUUAUAUUAUGGUAACCAUCUUGUAUGCAUGCUUGUACGGUAUUAACAAGUCAUAUAAUUAAAUCUUAGCCCAUAUAAACUCUUAGCAGAAUCAACUAGCUAGAUAAGGGAAAAUUGUAUAUGUAUAGUACAAAGUGUCAAACUGUAUAACCUAUGGGCCGAAUGCUGUGUCUGUAUGGUUCAAAAGCUGAGAAACUAUAUGACACAUGGUGUGUCAAAAAUAUUAUAUCAUGUAGCUCA
rnacentral:lncRNA from 1 species